CGACUCAGGGUUAAACUGUCAACCCUGAUCAGAUCAUCCGAAUCGUGCUCAACUCAAACAGUCCUGUGACUCCUCAUUAGGACUACCUUGGUCAAGAUUUUGCUAAAUUGAAACACGACUGUACACAGCUCCUAAACUGGAGUGGUCAAUCCCAUCUUGAUACACGCACCGAUAAGUCAAGUACUUGACUACACCCAGCAGCCUUCCGUCACUGAAUUAGAAAUUCAGAUAGUCCGUGCCUAAGUACAGUGAGUUGCUUGCAAGUCACCGUGGUGGUCUCAGGUCGGAGGGACAGUUAUACCCAUAUCCCAUCGGAGCAAAUCUUGAUAGUAGAAAAAGCUCCGAAGUCGGUCACAUUCAGUGCAGAUGUACCCUUACAUCUCACCUGUAUGCCAUACC
rnacentral:lncRNA from 1 species